UAAAGGGUGAUUUUUUAAGAGCUUGAUAACUUUUUUAAAAAAAAAACGCAUAAAAUUUGCAAAAUCUCAUCGGUUCUUUAUUUGAAACGUUAGAUUGGUUCAUGACAUUUACUUUUUGAAGAUAAUUUCAUUUAAAUGUUGACCGCGGCUGCGUCUUAGAUGGUCCAUUCGGAAAGUCCAAUUUUGGGCAACUUUUUCGAGCAUUUCGGCCGGAAUAGCCCGAAUUUCUUCGGAAAUGUUGUCUUCCAAAGCUGGAAUAGUUGCUGGCUUAUUUCUGUAGACUUUAGACUUGACGUAGCCCCACAAAAAAUAGUCUAAAGGCGUUAAAUCGCAUGAUCUUGGUGGCCAACUUACGGGUCCAUUUCUUGAGAUGAAUUGUUGUCCGAAGUUUUCCCUCAAAAUGGCCAUAGAAUCGCGAGCUGUGUGGCAUGUAGUGCCAUCUUGUUGAAACCACAUGUCAACCAAGUUCAGUUCUUCCAUUUUUGGCAACAAAAAGUUUGUUAGCAUCGAACGAUAGCGAUCGCCAUUCACCGUAACGUUGCGUCCAACAGCAUCUUUGAAAAAAUACGGUCCAAUGAUUCCACCAGCGUACAAACCACACCAAACAGUGCAUUUUUCGGGAUGCAUGGGCAGUUCUUGAACGGCUUCUGGUUGCUCUUCACCCCAAAUGCGGCAAUUUUGCUUAUUUACGUAGCCAUUCAACCAGAAAUGAGCCUCAUCGCUGAACAAAAUUUGUCGAUAAAAAAGCGGAUUUUCACAUUUCGAACCGAACACUGAUUUUGGUAAUAAAAUUCAAUGAUUUGCAAGCGUUGCUCGUUAGUAAGUCUAUUCAUGAUGAAAUGUCAAAGCAUACUGAGCAUCUUUCUCUUUGACACCAUGUCUGAAAUCCCACGUGAUCUGUCAAAUACUAAUGCAUGAAAAUCCUAACCUCAAAAAAAUCACCCGUUAUAUAUAAUUUGAAGCCAUGUAUAUACUUAACCCGAUAAUUAUUAUUGUGGUUAGCAAUAAAAAUUUAUUUGUGAUGGAAUUAUUAAUUUGUUUAAUUUCUGAAUAUUGUCAAAGUGAUAUUUUGAUUGUGAUUCUAAAAUUUUUAAUUUUUAAUUCUUAUUUAUUAUUUAUUUUUCUUAAAUUCUUUUACCUCUUAUGAUAAUAUUCGGAAUCAAUUUCUACAGAUACAUUGAACUAUGUAGGUUAAUUCCUUUUAUGCUUUCGUUAUUUACUUUAUGCGUUCCGUCGAUUAUAAUGUUACCAUGACUUAAAUCUAUUACAGGAUAGUUCUUUUCUUGGAUUAUGUUACAAUGUGCUUCCUUGUUUAGUAAUAUUGUGUUUACACAUUUAUUUGCUUCAAUUGUUUUUACAGUUUCGUACAGGAGUAUAAUUAUUGUUACAUACAUAUAGUGACUAAGUUGUCAAAUUGUAAUAUACCUUGUUUAUACUAACACCUUUAGUUUGAAAGUUUGGCAUACAUUUUUUUGAGAUUGGAUAUUUAUAUAUAAUAUUACAAUAACGGUGUCUUGUAUUCUUAGUACGUGAAUUCUUGCAUAUUUUAAAACAUUAAUAAUUUUGUUGCAAAACAUAAAUUUCAAUUUUUUGCAAAAUUUAUUGUAGUAGUUAAGUCUAAUAAUUCUCUAUAGAAUUGGAGGAGUGUUUGAUAUUUCAUUCUUUUAAUGUUAAACCUCUGUAUUAGGGUUUCAAAGUUUGCAUUUAUAUUUCUUCGUAUAUCGUAGGUUUAGUCCUAUGAUUAAUUGAGUUUUCAUUGUUGCGAAGGUUAUCCUUGUGUACGGUCCUCCCCUCGGUUGUUAAGAUCGUGUCCUCACGAUUUUCUUUAACCCGAGUUAUUUCUAAUAUUGUGGAAUUCAACUGUUCAACUAGAGCGUUUGAUGUCGAAUGGCUGGGCGUAGUCAUUGUGUGUUGUAUAUGUAAUUUUUAUUAUAAUGCUCGUGGCGCGAUGCUUUUAAGAUAUUCAUUAUCAGUCAUGCGUUGUGAGCAGAAUGAGUAUAUUUCAGUGAGAACUUCUUCUAGAGUUCUAUGGAAUUGUUUUCUAGUUUUCUAAUACACGCAUAUUUUGAAUAUCAAUCUAUGCUUGUUGAUUAUGUGGUAUUGUUAAUGUGAAAUAUGUCCAUUUUUAUGGAUGUACCAAUGCCUUUUGGUAUUGGGGUUUUUCCAUAUACUUGUUUUGUUGGGAGACGGUCAUAUUUAUUUUCUUUGCAUAUGACACAUAUUUUUGCGAGUUUCUUGGUUUCUUCUCUCAGAGUAUUUUUUUAUGAGCUUCUAUGUGCUCUUUCGUGAGUAUGCUUCAUUAUUUCAUCUCGUUCUUUCUCUACUUUUUUUUCGCUGAGUCAAAUGUAAUAUAAUGUCGUGUACUCGUAUUUCGUAAAAAGUUUCUAGUUGCGUGUGGAAAGCUGCUGUGAUAUUUGGAUUUAUUACUUUUUCAACGUUCCAAUUAAAUCAUUUUGUGUUGUGAAAUGGACGAUGAACCUUUCGUAUUUUGGAAAUACCGUGGUUUGUAUUAAUUGCGUUUCGCUUAAUUUUAUUAUAAUUAUUUUAUUUUUAAAUUGAUUUAUAGGAGCGGCUACUUUCUUUAUUCUUACUGGAGCUGAGGUUUCUGUAAAGUGUAUGGACUUGUUGGUUGUUACAAAGACCUGUCAGCUAUGUGCGUCUGCUAUUACAUUUGGAGAACCUGCUUUAUAUUUUAAUUUGGCUCCAUAUUCUUCUAUCUGAUUUUUCCAUCUCUUUAGUGGUGAUCAGUGUAAAUUGUUAAAUUCGUUAUACCAAACAAGCAGUUUCUAAGUUUACGCAGUGACCAUACAAUCGCGAACAUUUCUCACUCAUUCGUGGAGUAAUUUUGUUCGGUUUGUGUCAAUGUGCGUGAUAUGAAUGCAAUUGGGUUUCUUGCCUGGGCUAAUACAGCUCCUAUUGCAUAAUUGCUUGCGUCAGUCGUGAGUUCGAAUUCUUUCUCAAAGUCUGGCAGAUAUAUGUAAUUUUAUUUGCUCUUUGUUUUGAAAUGAAAACAAAGUUAACAUUUCAUUUUGUUUUUUCAAUGUAACGCAACUUGAUAAAUAAAACUUUUUGGUUUCUGUUCCGGUGUACAGAAAAGAUGGUUUUCUAACUCGUGAGCACGCUACGUAUAUCUGGCUGUGUGAAAAACAUAGCAUUUAUGCCACACACUAUGAAACUAUCCUUGUGUACUGUUGAUUGUCAUUUCAAAUGCAAUUUUCACUGGAAACGGAAUACGUUGGAACUGAAAUGGUAAAUCGUGAGAACUCAAAUGAAUUCGUAGAAUCAAGCAUUCUGCCCCCUUGUAUUCGAUAGGUGCGUCACAAUCAGUCGGGUUCCAUUACACGGUUUCGUUGCAUGAAGACUGCGAAACAUAUAACGACUGAUCUAACUUUGAGACGCAAAUGAUGCGGUGGCAUACCAAGCCUCUCCAAAGAAUUUAGAAAUUCCACUGGAUAAUUCACGGCGUCGUCUUCAUUGUCAAGACAAUCGAUCGAUUUGUAUGAGCGCAAUUCUCUCGUAGUUACGAUAAUUUGUCUAAUGUCCGAACAUUCGUGAUGAGUUCAUCUUUCGUUAAUUGAUAAACGGCAGAUGGAAUCGAUAUCAAACCACCGGAAGAAUCGACCGGAAUUUCCCCAUUUCCAAUUCUUAGCGAAUUUUGCAUAAUUUAUGCGGAUUUGAAGGCUGAUAUGUCGAAAUGAUUAUCGCGAAAAGUGUGCGAACUUCAUUUGCACUCCAGUGAUUAUCAUUUUCAAAAAGUUGCACACACCGUAUCAUUCACAGUACGCAAUGACUCAAAUGAAGCUGAACCGCGUACAUUUAUCAAUAACAACCGAAGGUAGAAACUAUCGUUGUUUUUCGGGUGGAUUGUGUAAAUUCGUCCUAAUGCAUUAGUUGAGAACACACCUGGAUGUCCAUCUACUAGUUUCUUCGACGAUGCAUUCCACGUAUAAUAUCAAGGUAUUUCCGAAUGUCCUCGCAAACGGAUCACUGACGAAAGUUGAGCAAAAACUCGUAAAUGUUAAUUUUGUUGCUGGCGGUGUUUUCACUGGCUGUACUGUAUUCUCUGGAUUGAAAUACACUCUUUGACCAUUCUCCAAAUUAACUGCGAGACGCACAACAGUCGGAAAACGUUCAAGAAUUGCAAAACGAAAUAUCCUACAAGGCGCUUUAGUUGGUGACUUUCUUUUGGUGAGGUACUUACAAACGUAUUUUAUCGAUUAUACCAAACUGCAAUACUCAACAUUGAUAUGAGUUUUGAAUGUGAGUUAGACAAUAAUGGUGAAUAUAGACGAUCCAUGUGUUGUCAACUUCGAUAUUCACUCUUCUAAAUUGGAUGCUGAAUGCUCUGUCAUUGUCAUUUGGCGAGUAACACCGAUAGAGUGGAUAUCAAUUAUUUUUAGUUUGUGUUUCCGAAAGAAAAACACUUGGAUACUGUUUCGUGCAUUUAUUGUGAGACAUACAAACCGAAGUGGGAUUGUGGUGUCCGCAAGGUCCAUGCACCCUAUUGGUUUUUAUCACUUCUUUCUUUGCAUCAGGAAUUUCCGCAUGAUUGAAUGAUUUCAUCAAUUUGAUCUGGUGUAACCACCAUCCACAAUCCAAAGAAGAAUGUGUGCGUGCGGCAAACCUUUCUUUUGCCACUCAACAGAGUACAUCUAGCAUCUAACAGCACCAUAUAUACGUAUGUACGUUGCUUCAAGAUAAAGUCCAUCGAAGCUGUUGCUUGAAAAGUCGCGCUGUGACAUCGUGACGAUCGCUUGCUGAUUGACCGCGAUCCAUAAUACUGCACAUAUGCAUUCUGGGAGUACUCGGUCAUGUGCCUUGGGCUGCUAAUGUAUGUUGAUGCCAAAAAGAACGCCGACCGAUAUUAGGGCGACCUCUUCGUGGCAUCGUAACAAAUACAUACAUAACAUUUUCACUGAAUAAUUUUCAAACAUUUUUGAAGCAAACGACAAAUUUGAACGAUUCAAAUAAUUGAAAAACGAAACAAAAAAAAUUGAAAAAAAAAAAUUUGUAUGGAAAAAAAUUAACUUUUUGGAAUAAUCCAAUUUUCCGACUUUUCCUCACGAAAAGCAUACCGGUUUUUUAUUUCUAAAUUAACACAGAACAUUCUCUGACAAUUUCAUCAAGAUUGGUUCAGUCGUUCCCUUAGCGUUACUAAUAAACAAACAUUCAUUCAUUUGUAUGGGAAAAAGAAAAGGGAUGUUUUUAGGGGUUUUCCCGCAACUAUUCGAAUUUUUCUUGCCGUAAAAACCAUCCUUGAGCCUCAACGAACAUUUUAAAAAAAGAAUUGGCAAAAUUAGUCCACGCUUUUUUGAGUUAUGCGCUUACCAACACAUUUUGCGAUUAAUUUUUAUAUAUAAGAUGUUCGAGCUUUUGUUUUUUGAUAUAUUCCCAUUCUCACCUCGCAAAAAUAUUGUGAGUGGUUUUGUUAUUUGGCCGAAAUUUUUGAUAAAUGCCCAAGAAUGAUCGAAGUUCUUUUAGGUUUUCAGGGGUUUUGUACCUAUCUAUGGCUUCGAUUCUUUUGGAGUCUACUGUAAUCGUACCGUUUUGAAUAAUGUGCCCUAGGAAUUCUGUUUGUCUCUGAAAAAUGUGAAUUUUCGUCUGAAACUUUCAUAUUGGCUUUAUGUAAAGUUUGUAUGAUAUUGGUAAUGUCUUUCAUAUGUAUGUUGUUACGGUGUAGCUGAAUAUAUUAGGACAUCAUCAGUAUAUACAUAUGCAUAUUUGGCAAUGUAAGGCCUGAGUAUGUCAUCAACAUAUCUUUGGAAGAUUGAGGGGGCGCACAUUGGGAUAUCUGUGGCCGAAAUUCAAAAAUUUCAUGUUGUCUGAUUUGAAUGAAAAUUUCACAGUUUGUUACCAACUAUCUAUACAUUAUUUUCCCAAAGUAUUAGGAUUCUAUCUGCAUUAGUUUUUUGUCCAGAAAUACCCAAAGUUGGUGAAUGUAGAAAACAUCAAAAUUAGCAAAAAAUUUACUCAAAAGUCAAAUCAUUGAUACAAUAAAACAACUAUUGAAAUUCAACUUUGUUAUUAUUUUUCAUUUAUAAUAUGUAUCAAAGAAAAAAUUUGCAUCAAAAUCCAUUGAAAAAAAUAAUGCAUAAAAAAUUUUGUGGAACAACAUAAUUUGGACGUCAAAAUUUCAAUGUUCUUCAAAUUCAAAGUGGUGCAUCUUUUUAGCGCUGUCUACCGCUGUCGACAUACAUAUACCGAAUUAAAGCCUGAAGUCUCAGCUAAACGAUAAAAAAAAUUCAGCUGCCCCAAAUUGCCCCCCUUGAAAAAAACAAUGUCAGAAUGUCACGAAGAUGUAAGAAAUUUGCUAAAAGAGACUUAAUAAAAGAGAAUUUAGUUGUAUGGGAGGUGGGCGUAAAAGUGGGCGGAUAUUAUUGAAAUUUAACACCAACAUAUAUAAAGUCAUAAAAAUGCUAUGUACCAAAAAUCAGUGCUGUAGGUCAAAAAUUAAGUUUCACCUUAUAUGGGAGGUGGGCGUAAAAUAAAAUUUUUUAAAAAAAUUUUUUAAUUUUUUUCUUGAUUGGAAUCCAAAACAAUGAUGUACCAAAUGUCAUUAUCCUGCGACAACUCCUUAUAUUUUUAGCCGCAGUAUGCACUAGCAGAAACCUAUGUGGGGCGUUCUUUAGUCCGAAUAGUAAACGAAGGAAUUCGUAUUUCGCACUAUUUAUUGAGAAGGCUGUUGUUUUUCCCUGUCUUGUUCCUCGAUCAUGAUUUGGUGAAUUCCUGAUUCUAAAUCGAAAACGGUGAAAUAAUUAGCGUUACCUAAAUUCAGUAGCAUCAUUGUUAUGUCUGGGAUAGGAUAUCUAUCUGAGAUGGUUACUUUAUUUAAUUUUUGAAAGUCUAUUACCAUCCUUCUUUUUGCUUUCCCUUUAUCGUAUGUACCUUUUUUUGAUACUGUCCAUAUAGGCGAAUUAUAUUUACUUGGUUGGAUUAUUUUAUUUUUCAAUAAUUUAUUUAUUUCUUCUUCUACAAAUCCUCUAUCUGUCUGUGUACAGGGAUAUUGUAUUACCCAGUUUCAACCGUAGUUUGUAUGGUAGUAAUUCAUUGUUAUGAUUCUCUUGCAUUCAAAUUUUUAUCUCUUCUUCAUAUUUUUGUUCUCCUAAGUGUAGUUUAGGUUAACUGAAUCUGUAAUUUUGGAGAAACUAAUGGAGUAAUCGAAAAUAGUUAUGAUAGCUGUCAUUUAUUUUAAGCCUUUAAUGCCUAUAACAAAAUCACAAUCUUUGAGUUUAUCUAACUUCAUGAAUUCCUUAUCGAAUCCUAAUAAAUUCACUUCUCUUUUUUGGGUUAUUACUGAAUUCCCAUGCAUUGUUUUUGUUAAUUGUUUCAACUUAAUUCUUUCAGCAUACGGAUAAUUUAUACUCACAUAAUUUUCUUCUGAACCGGUAUCUAUUUGUAAAAAAACUGGAUUACCAUCCGGAGAUAUUCUUUGUAAUCUGUGCAAUCCAUUCCUCUUUAUAAAAGAUAUUUGAUUAUUGUAUUCACUUGAAGUAGGGAAUCGUUGAUUUGAUUUAGUUUCCAAUCCUUUAGUCGUUGUUAAUUGAAUGAUUCUUCUUGAUCUCUCUUCCUAAAGUGGUUAAUUGGAUUUCGGAAAGAAUUAAAGCUUGUUGAUGCUGUGGUUGUUGGGGAACAUCCUGUUGCACUGGUUGAUGUUGAGUAGGUGGUCUAUAUUGAGCGGACGAAUUUACUUCCAUUGGUUCUACGGGUUGCAUCCUGCUGGGCUGAUUCUGUGAGGUUUGCUGCAUAUAUGGUACAUAUUUUAUAGCGAUGCUUCUUAAUCCUGAUAUAAAUGUGCGCACUGCUUUGAAUUGUACUUCAGUUGUUAUGCCUCGGGAUACUUUCUCGUUUUUAUGGGUCAUUUCUAUUUGCGAUAGAAUCAAAUUUAUGGCUCAACCGGGGGGAGCAGAGGAAGGGGAAGACCUUCACUCCGUUGGAAGGACCAAGUGGACAAGGACCUGGCUUCGCUUGGGAUAUCCAAUUGGCACGUAGCGAAAAGAAGAAAUACUGGCGCGCUUUUGUUAACUCGGUGUCUGCGCCAGUAAAGAAGAAGAAGAAUAUUUGUGCUGCUGUACCAAUGAUUUUAGAUUGUAUCACCAUGAGAGCUUGCACGUAUUUAUUGUGUCUUUCGAAAUUUUAAAUGCUAUUCAUUAGUCUGGUAGCCAUUUUUCUCUAUGCUCUGUAUUCGUUUUGGUCACCGUUGAACGUGGUGAGGAUCUUGAAUAUGUUCAGAUCCAUUUCUUCGGGAUUGUUGAGUGUAUAUUUGUAAUCUGGUGCAGGAUGAGGUAUAUUCAGAUAUCAGUUUUCCUGCAUGGAUACUCUCCUUUGUAAAUCUGCUAGUAUAGCCUGUAGUGCUGCUAAAUUUGCUGGAGUUGGCAUCCUUGUAGAUUUCACUUUGUUCCCCUAUGAGGUAACUUUUCCUAUUUAAAGGUUUUGUUUUCACUGUGACUAUGUCUCCUUUCAAUUUUUAUGACCGGCUUACGAAGGAUUUUAUAAACGGAUACUCUUUAUCGCGGUCCCUGCUCGGGCGCCAGUUAAUAUUCUUAUCAAAAUAGAAAUAGAUUUUUUAAGCCCAAGUAAAAGGACUGUUUCUUUAUUGUUGAUGUUUAUUAUUACUAAUGACGUAGGCAGUCUAGUAAUUAAGAACGUUGUUUGCUUGAUUACAAUUCUUAAUAUAGCAUUUACUUAGUCUUACGAAGGAUUUUAUAAACGGAAUUCUUUUUAUCGCGGUCCCUGGUCGGGCGCCUUUUAAUAUUCUUAUCAAAAUAAAAAUAUAUUUUUUAUAAGUAAAAGGACUUUUUUUAUAGUAGGAGGAGAACCAUCAAAAGCUGUAGUGCGGAACUUUAAUCCGCUAAACUCUCACUCCCACGGAACCACCAGAUAAGGUAUUACUUCAUGGGAGUGACAACACACUUUACGUUUUUUACUCUAAAGCAGGGAUGGGCACAUUUUUGCCCGAAAAGUUAGUAAAGUGCGCACGGGGGCUAGAUGAGGGAAAUAUCAGUGUACGGAGGGAAGGGCAUAAGAAGUUGCGAGAAAAAAUCAAUUACAUUCCUCCGCAACUUAAUGUUCAUCGCAGAAUGGUUGCGGCAAUACUGACAUUGUACACAAAUUUAAUAGCGGAAGUUUACUUCAUAUCAGAAUUGUACAGUUGUGUGAACAAAAAGAGGUAAACAUAAUUUGCACGUUUUAGAGAUUCGCAUUAAUAUCUGUUUUAAUUUACCAUUGCAAGCUGGAAAUUCUAAUCACAGUUAGGAAAAAAAUAUAUGUCUAUGUUAUACUUGUACCUAAAAACAAUUUUAUUUAAUAAGAAAACAUCAUAUUUUAAAACUUCACAACACCCUAUGGUUAUUCCUAUUUUGUUCACACCACUAUACAUGUGAUAGAUCAGUUAACGGUGGUGAUGCCAGUUGUAAAAAUUCAUUUUAGUUACAAUUGGGAAAACUUUUCUCAAGUUGUGGGCUUUUAUACGUACAUAUGCAUAUCUGCAUAUAUAAAAAAAAAAGAUACUUGUGACCAUUAUAUACAUAUAUUGUGUUUAAACAUAUUGCUGUUCCAUUUAAUGAAAAUACUUAUAUAAAUAUAUGAUUUGUGAUAUUCUCACUUUGGUUGUUUUAUCAAAAUAUUCAAAGAAUUGAGGUUUUUUCUAUAAUUGUUUUGUUAAACUUGAAAAAUCUAAGUUGCCUCUGGAAAUGUAUUAAAAUAAUAAUAUGCGCUAUAGAAAGGAGGGAACACAUAUUUUCAAAAAUAUAAGAAAUCAUCAAAUAAAAAUAUAUUUGCGCGGUAUGACGUUAUUGAUUGAGAGUGGCUAAGCACACAAAUAGAAUACAGACGCUAAUGGCAGAAAGAUCUUCUCACUUCGCUACGAGCGGCAAGCGUUUUGUUCUCGUUUUCAUUCGAACAAUGUUGCUAUUACUCAAUACGCAUAUGUAGUUUUGUACAUAUCUAAGUUUUCAAUUAUAAUUUUUCAUAAAAUAAAAUAUCAAAACUGAAAUCCAACUAUUAAAACUAGUUUAUACAUUUGUAAAUAAUAGCAUUCGAUUCUGAAUUUGAGUUAUUUUAAGAAAAGUUCAAAUAUAUUGAAGACAAUUUUUAUAAUUACUACAGUAUAUAGAAUAAUAAGUAGGUUAUCUGAUUUAAAUUUUGGUACAACAAUGCGUGUAACUAUAGCAAAUGAGAUUAAACCAAACAAAUAAUUUAUUAUUUCAAAUAAACAAAAUUAAAGGCUGAUAUAAAGACAUAUUAAAAAAAUGAUUACUAAAAUCAAGUAUUUAUUAUACUUUUUGUUAUUUGUCUUACAUUUUAUAAAUUUAUAGUAGUUACAAAGAAACUUAAAAUUGUUAGGCAAUUUUACAGUUAUUACCCACAGUGCAACUUCCCAUAUAUGCGCACGCUUUCAUUUGUAAACAUGGUGUGGGAAAAUACGUUGCUCUCUUUUGUAAAUAUGGAGUGGUAAAAUACGUUGCUCUCACUUCCCUCUUCCUGUUUGCCCGCGAUGAUCCCCUCACCUAGCCCUCAAAAUGUGCACUCGUGCCCGCACGGGCAAAAUGCCAAUGAGGGUUAAUCAGCCCUAUCACGCAAUCCAUCGUACCAAAGCUACGAAUACGAAUGUCCGCUACGAAUACGAACAAUUUGCUAUCAUUGAAUUCAUGUGAAUUCGAAACUUUUGUUGCCAGACUUAAUUUUGAAUUUUGACAUUUCGAAAUCAGCUGUGUAGAAGAAAAAAUAAAAAUUAGGAUUAAUAAAAGUGGAAACGUUUAUAUUCAAAUUGAUUUUACGACCAAAAAAUAUGUAUUCGCUAACGUUUUCAUUUAUGUUGCUUGAGGAAGAACGUGAGAGAAGUCGGCGUGAUAUAAAAAUUCACCGAAAAUCACUGAGGGACAGGAAUAACCCUUUCGAUGUGGACGAAAAAAUGUACAGUUCAUAAAUCCAUAAAAAUUCAUUGUUAAAUUUUAUUAAAAUUAUUUUUCUAAAACAGGUUUAUUAAAAACUAUCGCUUAAAUAAGGCGGCCUUUACGUAUGUCCUCGAUGUUCUAGAGAGGAAUGCAAGUUCUUCAAGAUCGUCGUCUAUAUCUUUACUUCAUCGAUUGUCUUCAGUUUUACGGUUUUUAGCUGAAAGAGGCUAUCAGCAUGGAGUGGAUAUUCCAAUGGCUCAGUCAACAUUUUGUUGCAUCUUAAAAGAAGUAUUGGGAUUGCUUCAGUCUCAUUUGUGCCCUCAGUGGAUAAACCUCGAUUAAAGUGAUGUUGAAAAAAGGGAAGCGAAAAAGGAUUUUUUUCAGAAAUACGGAUUUCCAGGCGCGAUUUUAUGUGUAGACGGGACACAUAUUAAAAUCGUUGCCCCAACUAAAGAUAAGUUUCUCUAUUAUAACCGCAAAGGAUACUUUAGUAUCAUUGCCAUGAUUGUAAGUUUGGUGACAAAUUCGCAUUUCAAACAUCUUAAUCAAUGUUUUGCAGAUAUGUGGCAAUAAAAUGAAAAUACGUUAUGUCAAUGUUCAGUUUCCUGGCAGCAAUCAUGACUCUCACAUAUGGAAAUUUAUUUCUCCGUUAGCACAAACCUGUCGUACAAAAAUUCCGCUAAACUUAAAAAUUUUCCGUUCCCAGUGAAUUCAGUGAACGCAACUCUACGAAUUUCGAACUUACUUUCGGAACUGUUCGAAUUGCAUGAUAGCAGUUUCGUAACUUUCCCGAAAAAACACUCUACGAUGGAUUGCGUGAUAGGGCUGAAUAUGCCCACCCCAGUUCUAAAGCACGGACGGACUGACGCCUAUUCUGUUGUAACUGUCUUAAUUUAGUCAUGAUGGAAGUUGCCGCCUCGCGAACAACUAUCCACUUGUUGGAGGACUGACACAUAAAUGCAGUCAAAUUUUCCACCAUUAGGCUACCAGCUAGUGCAGUUUCUAACUUUUCCCCUUAUGUUUCGAAACCGAGGACAGUGGAAAAACACGUGUUCAGAGUCUUCUCUGGACUCCGCACACAUCGAACAAUACGGACUGACGCCAUUUUGAAAUUUGUAUAGGUAGCCUCUGAAGCACUCAUGUCCGCUUAAUAUUUGAGUCAAGUGGAAGUCCAGGUCUCCAUGUUGUCUAGUUAUCCACAUAUGGAUGUCUGGUAUAAGUCUGUGGGUCCACCGUCCUUUGGUUGAGGUUUGCCACCGUUGCUGCCAUAUAAUUAUGGUCUUUGUUCUCUCCUCUCUUUUUUUGAUUUUUGUAAUUGGCGCUGAUUGCUCAUAUAAUCUUGCGAAUUUGUAUCCCUGGAUGUCUAUGGGCGGCAUACCAGCUAGUACUUCAGCUGCUUCGCUGGAAAUAGUUCGGAAAGUACUUGUUACUCUUAUUGCUGUGAGUCUAUGCACCGCAUUUAUUGAUCUAGCAUACGCUUUAAUGUUUAGAGCCUGUAUCCAUACUGGAGCUGCAUAUAAUAUAAUUGAGCUCAUCGCUUUUGCUAUUAGAAGUCGGCGCUUUGUUGUUUUUGAAUUUUUUGGCUAUGGCCAAUAGUUUUUCUUCAGUAACCAGUGAUUCAGCAGUUUCGUUUCGUUGCUCAGCGUUAGUAAUCGGUUCGUGCGUCGGGAAUAAUGCCUAGACGACUUUCUUCAUGAACGGAGCGCAUUUGGGUUGCUGCCGCUUAUUUUUGAACUUGGAUGCAUAUUUUAUAAGCAGUCCCCCAGGGGUUUAUAUUCGGUUCUCCACAGAUCUUUUCAAAACAGUUCCUUUUGCUACGGGUUAUAGCUGACUUUAAGAGCUUUUGUGGCUUCUAAAAGCUUCUUUUAAACGGUUUUCGUUUUCGCCACUUCGAUUGUGUUGUUGGUGAUGUCGAGCUGCGUGACAGAGUUUUCUCAGCGUGGGAAUUUCUUUAUUCCACCAGUAUACAGGUCUUCGCUUAUCGUGACAUUUCGUCUUUCGGAUUGUAGCAUUUUCGCAAUGCGGUUGCUAAGUGGACGCCGCCUUCGCCUGGUGCUAUUGCUGCACUUCAGGCUGUGUCAAAAAAGUAUAAAAUGUUCGGUGACACCCGAACUUAGCCCUUCCUUACUUGUUGCCUUUCAUGAAAAUGGGAGAUCUUAGCAUGGACGCCUUUAUCUGAAAAGAAUCAGCAAAAUCGAGAACGGCGGUGGUGAAAGGCAGAGCGAAAUUGCAGCGCUUAGGUGGAAGUGCUACCAUAAUCUGCGUUCGCAUUUAAAAAUGGGUUUAGAACUAAGUGAGAGCUCUUAUUAUCAAUCGGCUUCUACUCUCUGAGUAAUGGUAUGUCGCGACUGAAGUAGCGCGUUUGGGUUGAUGCGAUAAGAGCGAUCUUUGCGUUUUGUAAGUCUUGAUGCGUAGUUCCACUUUGUAUUCGGGGGAGUAGUUCACCCACCGUGGAAUUUGUAUCUGCAAGAUGUCUUUCAGAUUACUAGCAAACUGGGACCACUUUUCUAAGCGAAGAGGUUUCACUUGUUUGUCCCAGUCGGUUCCGUCUAGCCAUAAUUCUUGAAUCAGGAUUUUCGCUUGUAUCAUAAUUGGCGAAAGCCAUCCUGCGGGGUCGAAGUUUUGCCAUUGAGGAUAAAAUUUGUCUUUGUUAUGUCGGAUAAUGCGGAUAUGGGCUCUGUCGUGUAUGAAAACUGGUCCGAUAUCGCUUCCAAUGGAUGACCAGUGUUUUUGUUGUACUUUCUUUUUCGAAGAUAAGGAAAUUAGUAUCGAACAAAUUUUCGUUUGGUAUAUUUUUUAAGAUAUUUGGGUGAUUAGCUGUGAUCUUUUUUAUCUUGGGUAACUGUUUUCAAUUUAAAGUCGCGUAGUGGACUAUUGCGAGAUUUUCGGAAAAUAAUUCGCUGAAUAUCUUGAUCAUCUUUAUGUGCGAUUAUUUGUCGAUACAUUUUUUGACAUCUCCCAUUGAAAACGUAUUUGUAUAUCUUCUUCUUUACUGGCGUAGACACCGCUUACGCGAUUAUAGCCGAGUCAACAACAGCGCGCCAGUCGUUUCUUCUCUUCGCUACGUGGCGCCAAUUGGAUAUUCCAAGCGAGGCCAGGUCCUUCUCCACUUGGUCCUUCCAACGGAGUGGAGGUCUUCCUCUUCCUCUGCUUCCCGUGUCGGGUACUGCGUCGAACACUUUCAGAGCUGGAGUGUUUUCAUCCAUCCGGACAACAUGACCUAGCCAGCGUAGCCGCUGUCUUUUAAUUCGCUGAACUAUGUCAAUGUCGUCGUAUAACUCGUACACCUCAUCGUUCCAUCGAAUGCGAUAUUCGCCGUGGCCAACGCGCAAAGGACCAUAAAUCUUUCGCAGAACUUUUCUCUCGAAAACUCGCAACGUCGACUCAUCGGUUGUUGUCAUCGUCCAAGCCUCUGCACCAUAUAGCAGGACGGGAAUUAUGAGCGACUUAUAGAGUUUGGUUUUUGUUCGUCGAGAGAGGACUUUACUUUUCAAUUGCCUACUCAGUCCGAAGUAGCACCUGUUGGCAAGAGUAAUCCUGCGUUGGAUUUCCAGGCUGACAUUGUUGGUGGUGUUAAUGCUGGUUCCUAAAUAGACGAAAUUAUCUACAACUUCAAAGUUAUGACUGUCAACAGUGACGUGAGUGCCAAGUCGCGAGUGCGACGAC